rnacentral:rRNA from 1 species
GAUGAACGCUGGCGGCGUGCCUAACACAUGCAAGUCGAACGGAGUCCAGCCUUUAAUACCUUCGGGUCAAAGGGGGGAAGCCUGAGUGUCGGACGUGUGAGUAACACGUGGGCAACCUGGCUCAUAUAGGGGGAUAACAGAGAGAAAUUUCUGCUAAUACCGCAUACGCACACCCUGCCUCAUGGCAGAGGGUGAAAAGAGAAUCGCUUUGAGAUGGACCCGCUUCUGAUUAGCCAGUUGGCAGGGUAAGAGCCUACCAAAGCGACGAUCAGUAGCCGAGCUGAGAGGAUGAACGGCCACAUUGGGACUGAGACACGGCACAAACUCCUACGGGAGGCAGCAGUGGGGGAUAGUGCAAAAUGGGGGGAACCAUGAUGCAGCGACGCCGCGUGAGUGAAGAAGUAUUGCGGUAUGUAAAGCUCUAUCAGCAGGGAAGAUAAUGACAGUACCUGAAUAAGAAGCCCCGGCUAACUACGUG